UAUAAAACUGUCUUCCAUUUCUCGGAACUGAUUAGUGAAAACUUUGAGUAGUAUUCCAUGACAAAGCAAGGACCUGAGAAUUUCUCGGAACAACAAGUCCCGCUCUUGUAGACAGAUGGUCGAGGGUUCAGUGGUCAUUACUUGGAAUCGAGAAAAUACAGCUAUGAAUGACGUUUUACACAAUCAUUGUAUUGUAUAAGUAAAUGCCGUGUUCAAGGUCCAAGACAGGUUUAACGUCCUUUACCGUCAAUUCUCAGCUUUUAUUGAUCCAGUCAAACUCGCUUGCCAAUUCCACUUUGUUCCUGUUGGCUCGAAGAAUUACGACUUGUUCAAGAGUUGGAGUUAUACUCGAAUUAACCUUCAUCAAACCGUCGUGGAACUCCAUAAGAUUCUUACAAUGAGAAACAUGACGAUCCCAACCGUCAAUAAAGUCUCAGAGAGCUCAAUGAAUAAUAUGACAGAAUCGUUCCUGAUCCGUCUUCAGAAAAACAACCUGGGCGUUCCACCUACUGAUACCAAUGUCAAGAUUUACAGAAACUACAUCAUUGUCUCGACCUUGCGAUCAAUGAUCGUUAGACUGCAGUCCUGUAUCCCAACGUGAAUUUAUCUGUAGCAAAAAUGAUGCCAAAAAAACACAAUAGGGAAAGAUUGUCACUAUUGAGCCCAACAACCUAGUGCCAAAGGGUAUCUGAACACCCUUACAGUGGCGGACACACAACCCUACAAAGGGGGUGGUUAUAUGCACAAGAAAACCAAUUUAAAACGAUAGAUUUUGGUCCGCCAAAAAUGAAAUUGUUCUAAGAUGAAUGCUGUUUUAGCUGCUCUUCAGAACGAGUCCCAUUUAUAUGUACCUUGACUCCGCGAUGACCCACUUAUAAUAAAUAAAUAUAAGAUAUGAAUUUAUCAUCUUGCGUAGGAGUACUUAGCUCAAUCUACCUUAUUAAUUAACAUAUCAUAAUUUCGAUUUUUUAGUGGAACCCUAGAAAAAGCGGAUUGUCUAGCCGACCUAAUCAACCCCCUAACCGUAGAUCUGCCCUUGGCUGAAAAAUAAAUAUUUUUUAACAUGAUUUCUUUGACAGCGGAUUUCUAAGCAGAAAAAUCAAGUCCUAAGUGGCCACUGGGUUGUAGAUUACAUUAGUGACAAAGUUUUCCUUAUAAAUGCUAUCACAUUCAUAUUUUUUGUUUGUUUGUUUGUUUUCGAUUGCAGUUGUUGUUUUUGUUAUAAUUUAGAAUAAGUUUAAACACCUACUUCAGAAAACGUUGUCAGGGAGAACGGCGAACGGCGAUUGUCGAAGGGAGAAUGCACGACCGAAAGGGACUUUGGUUAGACUGUUUUGACAACCAAAAUUUCAGUACUUUCUGUCGAGAAUCGAUGUUCGACAAUUGAUAUUCAAUGUUUUAUCCGACAAUGAAAUCGGUAUACAGCUAUUUCAAAAAAAAAAAGUAGGGGAGAACGGCAAACGGCGGUUGUCGAAGGGAGAUUGCACGACCGAAAGGGACUAUGGUUACACUGUUUUGAUAAAUAAAAUGUCUCUUAUUGGAUUCAGACUAUCUUGCAGUACAAUUCAGUUGUUAUUGCCUUUCAACUAGCAAAACCCAUGGCUACUUUCGGUCGUGCAAUCGCCGUUCGACCAUUGACAUUCGCCAUUUUAUCCGAAAUAGCUAUAUAUUAGCCGGCAUAAUAAUAAAAAAUCACGAAAAUGGUAUACACCACAAAAAUGGCAUUGUCAAAUAAGAAUUCAAUUAAAGGUCACUCUAUGGUAAU